UAUCGCGUAGUUUAGUUAGUUCCGAAUUCAGUUAAAUUAUAAUGUGGAACCGCUGGAAUAUCGAUCUUGUAGAAACAACAAAUUGGUUCCUCAAAGACCAUAAAGGCAUACCAAACUUACAGGAGUCGUCAAAAGUUUUUGGAAAAAUAACUAUAUGUACAUCUGUAUGUAUGUACAUAUGCAUGUGUUUACCUAAUGGCAUGAAAUCAUUGACUAUUAACACAUUUAAAGAGGGCCUAUUGGAACCUGCGUUUUAAACACCAAACGUUUAACUUUUAUACUACGGGCCGGCGAACGGACAUGGGCACAUCGUCUCUGCUAUUGGGACUGAUAACUUAUAUAUGGUCGGAAAAACUGUCUUCCUUUUUUCAACGAAUCUCUAGUUUACCUAUUUUCCAUUAAAAUUAUUUCCCAUUUACGACCCUGCGACACGGAUUACUUACGAAAUACGUACAAUGAUGAAAUUUUAAUUUACAUACAUAUGUAUGUAUUUUAUG